rnacentral:tRNA from 1 species
CGCGGGAUGGAGCCGCGGUAGCUCGUCGCGCUCAUCACCCGCAGGUCGGGGGGUCAAAUCCGCCUCCCGCAA